rnacentral:rRNA from 1 species
GCCUAAAGCGUCCGUAGCCUGCUUUGUCAGUUUUCGGUUAAAUCCAUACGCUCAACGUAUGGGCUGCCGGAAAUACUGCAAAGCUAGGGAGUGGGAGAGGUAGACGGUACUCGGGAGGAAGGGGUAAAAUCCUUUGAUCUCUCGAUGACCACCUGUGGCGAAGGCGGUCUACCAGAACACGUCCGACGGUGAGGGAUGAAAGCUGGGGGAGCAAACCGGAUUAGAUACCCGGGUAGUCCCAGCUGUAAACUAUGCAAACUCAGUGAUGCAUUGGCUUGAUGCCAAUGCAGUGUUGCAGGGAAGCCGUUAAGUUUGCCGCCUGGGAAGUACGUACGCAAGUAUGAAACUUAAAGGAAUUGGCGGGGGAGCACCACAAGGGGUGAAGCCUGCGGUUCAAUUGGAGUCAACGCCAGAAAUCUUACCCGGAGAGACAGCAGAAUGAAGGUCAAGCUGAAGACUUUACCAGACAAGCUGAGAGGUGGUGCAUGGCCGUCGCCAGCUCGUGCCGUGAGAUGUCCUGUUAAGUCAGGUAACGAGCGAGAUCCUUGCCUCUAGUUGCCACCAUUACUCUCAGGAGUAGUGGGGCGAAUUAGCGGGACCGCCGUAGUUAAUACGGAGGAAGGAAGGGGCCACGGCAGGUCAGUAUGCCCCGAA